rnacentral:rRNA from 1 species
AUUGAACGCUGGCGGCAGGCCUAACACAUGCAAGUUGAAUGGUAACAGGAAACAGCUUGCUGUUUCGCUGACGAGUGGCGGACGGGUGAGUAAUGUCCGGGAAACUGCCUGAUGGAGGGGGAUAACUACUGGAAACGGUAGCUAAUACCGCAUAACGUCGCAAGACCAAAGAGGAGGACCUUCGGGCCUCUUGCCAUCAGAUGUGCCCAGAUGGGAUUAGCUAGUAGGUGGGGUAACGGCUCACCUAGGCGACGAUCCCUAGCUGGUCUGAGAGGAUGACCAGCCACACUGGAACUGAGACACGGUCCAGACUCCUACGGGAGGCAGCAGUGGGGAAUAUUGCACAAUGGGCGCAAGCCUGAUGCAGCCAUGCCGCGUGUAUGAAGAAGGCCUUCGGGUUGUAAAGUACUUUCAGCGGGGAGGAAGGGAGUAAAGUUAAUACCUUUGCUCAUUGACGUUACCCGCAGAAGAAGCACCGGCUAACUCCGUG